rnacentral:rRNA from 1 species
GGGAUGAAGGUCUUCGGAUUGUAAACCCCUGUCAUUUGUGAACAAACCUUUUGGUUUAAUAGAUCAAAAGCUGAUAGUAGCAAAAGAGGAAGGGACGGCUAACUCCGUGCCAGCAGCCGCGGUAAUACGGAGGUCCCAAGCGUUGUUCGGAUUUACUGGGCGUAAAGGGUGCGUAGGUGGCCAGGAAAGUUUGAUGUGAAAGCUCCGAGCUCAACUCGGAAAAUGCAUUGAAUACUACUUGGCUUGAGGAUCGGAGGGGAGACUGGAAUUCUCGGUGUAGCAGUGAAAUGCGUAGAUAUCGAGAGGAACACCAGUGGCGAAGGCGAGUCUCUGGACGAUUCCUGACACUGAGGCACGAAAGCUAGGGGAGCAAACAGGAUUAGAUACCCUGGUAGUCCUAGCCGUAAACGGUGCACACUUGCUGUAGGAGGAUUCGACCCCUUCUGUGGCGGAGCAAACGCGUUAAGUGUGCCGCCUGGGGAGUACGGUCGCAAGAUUAAAACUCAAGGAAAUUGACGGGGGCCUGCACAAGCGGUGGAGUAUGUGGCUUAAUUCGAUGCAACGCGAAGAACCUUACCUGGCCUUGACAUGCAUCUCUAAGCGUGUGAAAGCACGUGACCCUUCGGGGAAUUUGCACAGGUGCUGCAUGGCUGUCGUCAGCUCGUGUCGUGAGAUGUUGGGUUAAGUCCCCCAACGAGCGCAACCCUUGUGUCCUGUUGCCACUUCCGCUAGCGCGGGAAGCACUCUGGACAGACUGCCUCG